GGUUGACCUCGAAUCAGGUAGGACUACCCGCUGAACUUAAGCAUAUC
rnacentral:rRNA from 1 species